rnacentral:rRNA from 1 species
GCGUACCUUCGGGUACGAGUGGCAGACGGCUGAGUAACGCGUGGGUGACAUACCCGUUGGUGGGGAAUAACUGCCCGAAAGGGUGGCUAAUUCCGCAUACGCCUGUCUUUUCGUUUGAGAUAGGGAAAGUCUCGCAAGAGACGCCGAUGGAGUGGCCCGCGUUCGAUUAGCUGGUUGGUGGGGUAACGGCCUACCAAGGCGACGAUCGAUAGCUGGUCUCAGAGGAUGAUCAGCCAGACUGGGACUGAGACACGGCCCAGACUCCUACGGGAGGCAGCAGUUAGGAAUUUUGGGCAAUGGGCGCAAGCCUGACCCAGCAACGCCGCGUGGGUGACGAAGGCCUUCGGGUUGUAAAGCCCUUUUCUGAGGGAAGAUGAUGACGGUACCUCAGGAAGAAGCACCGGCUAACUACGUGCCAGCAGCCGCGGUAAUACGUAGGGUGCGAGCGUUGCCCGGAUUUAUUGGGCGUAAAGGGCGCGUAGGCGGUUCGGCACGUCCGUUGUGAAAUCGCCCGGCUCAACUGGGCGGGGUCAGCGGAUACGGCCGAGCUGGAGCAAGCUAGGGGGCAAUGGAAUUCCCGGUGUAGUGGUGGAAUGCGUAGAUAUCGGGAGGAACACCAGUGGCGAAGGCGGUUGCCUGGAGCUUUGCUGACGCUG